rnacentral:rRNA from 1 species
UCGAGGGGUAUAUGUCUUCGGAUAUAGAGACCGGCGCACGGGUGCGUAACGCGUAUGCAAUCUACCUUUUACAGAGGGAUAGCCCAGAGAAAUUUGGAUUAAUACCUCAUAGUAUAGUGACUCGGCAUCGAGAUACUAUUAAAGUCACAACGGUAAAAGAUGAGCAUGCGUCCCAUUAGCUAGUUGGUAAGGUAACGGCUUACCAAGGCUACGAUGGGUAGGGGUCCUGAGAGGGAGAUCCCCCACACUGGUACUGAGACACGGACCAGACUCCUACGGGAGGCAGCAGUGAGGAAUAUUGGACAAUGGGCGCAAGCCUGAUCCAGCCAUGCCGCGUGCAGGAUGACGGUCCUAUGGAUUGUAAACUGCUUUUGUACGAGAAGAAACACUCCUUCGUGAAGGAGCUUGACGGUAUCGUAAGAAUAAGGAUCGGCUAACUCCGUGCCAGCAGCCGCGGUAAUACGGAGGAUCCAAGCGUUAUCCGGAAUCAUUGGGUUUAAAGGGUCCGUAGGCGGUUUAGUAAGUCAGUGGUGAAAGCCCAUCGCUCAACGGUG